rnacentral:rRNA from 1 species
AACUAACGCUGGCGGCGUGCCUAACACAUGCAAGUCGUACGAGAAAGCCGGCUUCGGCUGGUGAGUAAAGUGGCGCACGGGUGAGUAACGCGUGGAUAAUCUGCCCUUAAAUGUGGAAUAACGUACCGAAAGGUGCGCUAAUACCGCAUAAUGCCUGGCAACACAAGUUGUCCGGCCAAAGAAGGCCUCUGUUUACAAGCUUUCGCUUCAGGAUGAGUCCGCGUACCAUUAGCUUGUUGGUGGGGUAAUGGCCUACCAAGGCUGCGAUGGUUAGCUGGUCUGAGAGGAUGAUCAGCCACACUGGAACUGAGACACGGUCCAGACUCCUACGGGAGGCAGCAGUGAGGAAUAUUGCGCAAUGGGGGCAACCCUGACGCAGCAACGCCGCGUGAGUGAGGAAGGUUUUCGGACUGUAAAGCUCUGUCGAGCGGGAAGAAGUGUACCAUGGCUAAUAUCCAUGAUAUUUGACGGUACCGCUAGAGG